rnacentral:rRNA from 1 species
GUUUGAUCCUGGCUCAGAUUGAACGCUGGCGGCAGGCCUGACACAUGCAAGUCGAGCGGAUGAGUGGAGCUUGCUCCAUGAUUCAGCGGCGGACGGGUGAGUAAUGCCUAGGAAUCUGCCUGGUAGUGGGGGACAACGUUUCGAAAGGAACGCUAAUACCGCAUACGUCCUACGGGAGAAAGCAGGGGACCUUCGGGCCUUGCGCUAUCAGAUGAGCCUAGGUCGGAUUAGCUAGUAGG